CAUGCAAGUCGAGGGGUAGCAGGGAGCUUGCUCCGCUGACGACCGGCGAACGGGUGCGUAACGCGUAUAGAAUCUACCUCUUACUAAGGGAUAGCCCAGAGAAAUUUGGAUUAAUAUCUUAUAGUAUACAGACCUGGCAUCAGGAUUGUAUUAAAGGUUACGGUAAGAGAUGACUAUGCGUCCUAUUAGCUAGAUGGUGUGGUAACGGCACACCAUGGCUACGAUAGGUAGGGGCCCUGAGAGGGGGAUCCCCCACACUGGUACUGAGACACGGACCAGACUCCUACGGGAGGCAGCAGUGAGGAAUAUUGGACAAUGGAGGCAACUCUGAUCCAGCCAUGCCGCGUGCAGGAAGACUGCCCUAUGGGUUGUAAACUGCUUUUAUACAGGAAGAAACACUCUCACGUGUGAGAGCUUGACGGUACUGUAAGAAUAAGGAUCGGCUAACUCCGUGCCAGCAGCCGCGGUAAUACGGAGGAUCCAAGCGUUAUCCGGAAUCAUUGGGUUUAAAGGGUCCGUAGGUGGAUGAUUAAGUCAGAGGUGAAAUCCUGCAGCUCAACUGUAGAAUUGCCCUUGAUACUGGUUGUCUUGAGUUAUUAUG
rnacentral:rRNA from 1 species